rnacentral:rRNA from 1 species
GAUGAACGCUGGCGGCGUGCCUAAUACAUGCAAGUCGAGCGAACGGAAGAGAAGCUUGCUUCUCUGAUGUUAGCGGCGGACGGGUGAGUAACACGUGGAUAACCUACCUAUAAGACUGGGAUAACUUCGGGAAACCGGAGCUAAUACCGGAUGAUAUUUUGAACCGCAUGGUUCAAAAGUGAAAGACGGUCUUGCUGUCACUUAUAGAUGGAUCCGCGCUGCAUUAGCUAGUUGGUAAGGUAACGGCUUACCAAGGCAACGAUGCAUAGCCGACCUGAGAGGGUGAUCGGCCACACUGGAACUGAGACACGGUCCAGACUCCUACGGGAGGCAGCAGUAGGGAAUCUUCCGCAAUGGGCGAAAGCCUGACGGAGCAACGCCGCGUGAGUGAUGAAGGUCUUCGGAUCGUAAAACUCUGUUAUUAGGGAAGAACAUAUGUGUAAGUAACUGUGCACAUCUUGACGGUACCUAAUCAGAAAGCCACGGCUAACUACGUG